GAGGUGGCACAGUGGGUCAGUGCUUGUGGCUGUCAACCAGAAGGUUGAUGGUUCAAGUCCACUCAGGGACA